rnacentral:lncRNA from 1 species
ACAGACCUGCAGCUGCUUUAUAAGAGGCCCUCAUCAGCCACUUUGGGGCCAGUCUAAGAUGUACCCUCCAGUUUCCUGACCCUGUGGAACACAGCCUCAGUUGCAGGCUCUUCAAGUGCAAGGGCAAAAGGCCAUGCAGUCCAUCACGAUUAUUCGGAAGCCUCGCAUCUGAGUCACAUUGCCCAGGGCUCUCUGCUGGAAAAUGGAUCAUGAAGGCGAAGGGCAGAAGCCAGGAGGCCACCAGCAUUGCAGGGGCGAGGGACCAGGUGACUGGAUGCAUGGAGUGGGGACAGAGAGGGUGGUGGAUCAUCUGGGACAGCUUU